GCCGAUGAAGGACGUGAUAAGCUGCGAUAAGCUUCGGGGAGUUGCACGUAAACUUUGAUCCGAAGAUUUCCGAAUGAGGAAACUCACUUAGAGUAAUGUCUAAGUAUCAUUAAGUGAAUACAUAGCUUAAUGAGGGGAACUCAGGGAACUGAAACAUCUAAGUACCUGAAGGAAGAGAAAGAAAUUCGAUUCCGUAAGUAGCGGCGAGCGAACGCGGAUUAGCCCAAACCAAUAAAGUUUUCUUUAUUGGGGUUGCGGACAUAUCAUAACGAAGAGGUAUCGUAAUUGAAGAGGUUUGGAAAGACCCACCACAGAAGGUAAUAGUCCUGUAUGUUAAACGAGAAGACUUCAGAUAUGAUCCAGAGUACCACGGGACACGUGAAACCCUGUGGGAAGCAGGAGGGACCACCCUCCAAGGCUAAAUACUACCUAGUGACCGAUAGCGUAUAGUACCGUGAGGGAAAGGUGAAAAGAACCCCGGGAGGGGAGUGAAAUAGAACCUGAAACCCUGCACUUACAAGCUGUGGAAGCACAUUUCUUGUGUGACCGCGUACUUUUUGUAGAACGGGCCAACGAGUUACGUUAAGUAGCAAGGUUAAGCACUUAAGGUGCGGAGCCGUAGCGAAAGCGAGUUUUAACUGAGCGUUCAGUUACUUGACGUAGACCCGAAACCGGGCGACCUACCCAUGAGCAGGAUGAAGCGAAAGUAAAAUUUCGUGGAGGUCCGAACCCACGAGCGUUGAAAAGCUCGGGGAUGACUUGUGGGUAGCGGUGAAAUUCCAAUCGAGCCCGGAGAUAGCUGGUUCUCCCCGAAAUAGCUUUAGGGCUAGCCUCAAGGUGAGAGAUACGGAGGUAGAGCACUGAAUGUCCUAGGGGGUAUUGCACCUACCGAAGACUAUCAAACUCCGAAUGCCGUCAUCUUAUACUUGGGAGUCAGACUGUGGGUGAUAAGAUUCAUAGUCGAAAGGGCAACAGCCCAGAUCGUCAGCUAAGGUCCCUAAAUGUAAGUUAAGUGGUAAAGGAUGUGGGAUUGCACAGACAACCAGGAUGUUGGCUUAGAAGCAGCCACUCAUUCAAAGAGUGCGUAAUAGCUCACUGGUCGAGUGAUCCUGCGCCGAAGAUUUCCGGGGCUAAAACUUACUACCGAAGCUACGGCAUCAGUAAUGAUGGGUAGGGGAGCUUCCCAUACGGGUUGAAGCAUGACCGUAAGGACAUGUGGACAGUAUGGGAGUGAGAAUGUUGGCAUGAGUAGCGAGAUGUGGGUGAGAAUCCCACAGGCCGUAAACCCAAGGUUUCCAGGGGAAGGUUCGUCCGCCCUGGGUUAGUCGGGACCUAAGCUGAGGCCGAAAGGCGUAGGUGAUGGACAACAGGUUGAUAUUCCUGUACUACCGAUAACCGUUUGAGAGAAGGGAUGACACAGUAGGAUAAGCUAAGCACACUGUUGGUUAUGUGUGCCCAAGCAUUGAGGCGGUCAAAGUAGGCAAAUCCGCUUUGAUAAUGCUGGGAUGUGAUGGGGAGCGAAAUUUAGUAGCGAAGUAGCUGAUUUCACACUGUCAAGAAAAGUCUCUAUCGAGGUUAAAGGUACCCGUACCGCAAACCGACACAGGUGGGUGAGGAGAGUAUCCUAAGGCCAGCGAGAGAACUGUUGUUAAGGAACUCGGCAAAAUGACCCCGUAACUUAGGGAUAAGGGGUGCCACCAUCAGGUGGCCGCAGAGAAUAGGCCCAAGCGACUGUUUACCAAAAACAUAGGUUUCUGCUAAGUCGCAAGACGAUGUAUAGGAGCUGACGCCUGCCCGGUGCUGGAAGGUUAAGGGGAUCUGUUAGAGCAAUCGAAGCAGUGAACUUAAGCCCCAGUAAACGGCGGCCGUAACUAUAACGGUCCUAAGGUAGCGAAAUUCCUUGUCGGGUAAGUUCCGACCCGCACGAAAGGCGUAACGAUUUGGGCACUGUCUCAACAACAGACUCGGUGAAAUUGUAAUUCCGGUGAAGAUGCCGGAUACCUGCGACAGGACGGAAAGACCCCAUGGAGCUUUACUGUAGCUUGACAUUGGGUCUUGGUACUACAUGUACAGGAUAGGUGGGAGGCUUUGAAACCAGGACGCCAGUUUUGGCGGAGCCAUCCUUGGGAUACCACCCUUGUAGUACUGGGACUCUAACCAUAGGCCAUGAAUCUGGUCUUGGGACACUGUCAGGUGGGCAGUUUGACUGGGGCGGUCGCCUCCCAAAAGGUAACGGAGGCGCUCAAAGGUUCUCUCAGUACGGUCGGAAAUCGUACGUAGAGUGUAAAGGCAAAAGAGAGCUUGAUUGCAAGACAUACAGGUCGAGCAAGGAUGAAAAUCGGACUUAGUGAUCCGGUGGUUCUGCGUGGAAGGGCCAUCGCUCAACGGAUAAAAGCUACCCUGGGGAUAACAGGCUUAUCUCCCCCAAGAGUCCACAUCGACGGGGAGGUUUGGCACCUCGAUGUCGGCUCAUCACAUCCUGGGGCUGUAGUAGGUCCCAAGGGUUGGGCUGUUCGCCCAUUAAAGUGGUACGCGAGCUGGGUUCAGAACGUCGUGAGACAGUUCGGUCCCUAUCCGUCGCAGGCGUAGGAAAUUUGAGAAGACCUGUCCUUAGUACGAGAGGACCGGGAUGGACGUACCUCUGGUGUACCAGUUGUCCUGCCAAGGGCAUGGCUGGGUAGCUAUGUACGGAAUGGAUAAGCGCUGAAAGCAUCUAAGCGCGAAGCCAACUUCAAGAUAAGAUUUCCCACCGCAAGGGUAAGACCCCAGAAAGACUAUCUGGUUGAUAGGUCGAAGGUGUAAGUGCAGUAAUGUAUUUAGCUUAUCGAUACUAAUAGGUCGAGGACUUGACCAAU
rnacentral:rRNA from 1 species